rnacentral:rRNA from 1 species
CCUACGGGAGGCUGCAGUGGGGACUAUUGCACAAUGGGGGAAACCCUGAUGCAGCGACGCCGCGUGAGUGAAGAAGCGUUUCGGCGCGUACAGCUCUGUCAGCGGGGAAGAAACACGGUUCGCGAGAGCCGCGGACGGUACCCGACCAAGAAGCCCCGGCUAACUACGUGCCAGCAGCCGCGGUAAUACGUAGGGGGCAAGCGUUAUCCGGAUUCACUGGGGGUAAAGGGAGCGUAGACGGCGAGCGAAGUCUGGAGUGAAAGGCCGGGGCCCAACCCCGGGACUGCUCUUGAAACUGCCGGGCUGGAGUACAGGAGAGGUAAGUGGAAGUCCUAGGGUAGCGGUGAAAUGCGUAGAUAUUAGGAGGAACACCAGUGGCGAAGGCGGCUUACUGGACUGUAACUGACGUUGAGGCUCGAAAGCGUGGGGAGCAAACAGGAUUAGAUACCCGAGUAGUC